CCCUUAGAUGUCCUGGGCCGCACGCGUGCUACACUGACGCAUACAGCGAGCACUUUCCAGUUCCGAGAGGCUACUGGUAAUCAUCAAUAUGCGUCGUGAUGGGGAUAGAUCUUUGGAAUUCUGGAUCUUGAACGAGGAAUGCCUAGUAAUCGCAGGUCAUUAGCCUGCGAUGAUUAAGUCCCUGCCCUUUGUACACACCGCCCGUCGCUACUACCGAUUUCGAGUGGUCAGGUGAAUCUUUCGGACUGUGGGCGCCCUUGAGGUGUUCGCGGAAAGUCAGGUAAAUCUUAUCACUUAGAGGAAGUAAAAGUCGUAACA
rnacentral:rRNA from 1 species